UGUGAGCUCGAUGAGUAGGGCGGGACACGUGGUAUCCUGUCUGAAUAUGGGGGGACCAUCCUCCAAGGCUAAAUACUCCUGACUGACCGAUAGUGAACCAGUACCGUGAGGGAAAGGCGAAAAGAACCCCGGCGAGGGGAGUGAAAAAGAACCUGAAACCGUGUACGUACAAGCAGUGGGAGCCUCUUUUAUGGGGUGACUGCGUACCUUUUGUAUAAUGGGUCAGCGACUUAUAUUCUGUAGCAAGGUUAACCGAAUAGGGGAGCCGAAGGGAAACCGAGUCUUAACUGGGCGUUAAGUUGCAGGGUAUAGACCCGAAACCCGGUGAUCUAGCCAUGGGCAGGUUGAAGGUUGGGUAACACUAACUGGAGGACCGAACCGACUAAUGUUGAAAAAUUAGCGGAUGACUUGUGGCUGGGGGUGAAAGGCCAAUCAAACCGGGAGAUAGCUGGUUCUCCCCGAAAGCUAUUUAGGUAGCGCCUCGUGAAUUCAUCUCCGGGGGUAGAGCACUGUUUCGGCAAGGGGGUCAUCCCGACUUACCAACCCGAUGCAAACUGCGAAUACCGGAGAAUGUUAUCACGGGAGACACACGGCGGGUGCUAACGUCCGUCGUGAAGAGGGAAACAACCCAGACCGCCAGCUAAGGUCCCAAAGUCAUGGUUAAGUGGGAAACGAUGUGGGAAGGCCCAGACAGCCAGGAUGUUGGCUUAGAAGCAGCCAUCAUUUAAAGAAAGCGUAAUAGCUCACUGGUCGAGUCGGCCUGCGCGGAAGAUGUAACGGGGCUAAACCAUGCACCGAAGCUGCGGCAGCGACGCUUAUGCGUUGUUGGGUAGGGGAGCGUUCUGUAAGCCUGUGAAGGUGUGCUGUGAGGCAUGCUGGAGGUAUCAGAAGUGCGAAUGCUGACAUAAGUAACGAUAAAGCGGGUGAAAAGCCCGCUCGCCGGAAGACCAAGGGUUCCUGUCCAACGUUAAUCGGGGCAGGGUGAGUCGACCCCUAAGGCGAGGCCGAAAGGCGUAGUCGAUGGGAAACAGGUUAAUAUUCCUGUACUUGGUGUUACUGCGAAGGGGGGACGGAGAAGGCUAUGUUGGCCGGGCGACGGUUGUCCCGGUUUAAGCGUGUAGGCUGGUUUUCCAGGCAAAUCCGGAAAAUCAAGGCUGAGGCGUGAUGACGAGGCACUACGGUGCUGAAGCAACAAAUGCCCUGCUUCCAGGAAAAGCCUCUAAGCAUCAGGUAACAUCAAAUCGUACCCCAAACCGACACAGGUGGUCAGGUAGAGAAUACCAAGGCGCUUGAGAGAACUCGGGUGAAGGAACUAGGCAAAAUGGUGCCGUAACUUCGGGAGAAGGCACGCUGAUAUGUAGGUGAAGUCCCUUGCGGAUGGAGCUGAAAUCAGUCGAAGAUACCAGCUGGCUGCAACUGUUUAUUAAAAACACAGCACUGUGCAAACACGAAAGUGGACGUAUACGGUGUGACGCCUGCCCGGUGCCGGAAGGUUAAUUGAUGGGGUCAGCGCAAGCGAAGCUCUUGAUCGAAGCCCCGGUAAACGGCGGCCGUAACUAUAACGGUCCUAAGGUAGCGAAAUUCCUUGUCGGGUAAGUUCCGACCUGCACGAAUGGCGUAAUGAUGGCCAGGCUGUCUCCACCCGAGACUCAGUGAAAUUGAACUCGCUGUGAAGAUGCAGUGUACCCGCGGCAAGACGGAAAGACCCCGUGAACCUUUACUAUAGCUUGACACUGAACAUUGAGCCUUGAUGUGUAGGAUAGGUGGGAGGCUU
rnacentral:rRNA from 1 species